rnacentral:lncRNA from 1 species
CCCCCUUUUCCUACUUCUUCUUUUCAUCUUCAACUUCUACUUCUUUUUUUUCAUCAUCAUCAUCUUCUUCUACUUAUUGUUCUUUUUUUUCUUCUUCUUCUUCCUCUUCUUCUUUUACUUCUUUUUUCAUCUUUCUUGUUUGUUCAUAAAAAUUACAAAAAAACCCUAAACAAAACUAUAAACUAAAUGUAACCUAAAAUAAACUAACCUAACCUAAACUAACCUAACCUAAACAAAACUAACCUAACCUAAACUAAACUAAACUACCCUAACCUAACCUAAACUAAACUAAAAAACAUAAACUAAAUCUAAAAAAAGAAAAAAAAACUCACCA